GGCGGGUUGGGAGCAUAAUUAGAUACUCUCUGAGCCAUUUGUUCACCGAUUUAGCUUAUCCCGGAGAUUCUAUUAAAUUAUGAGGGGCGUUACUCCGCCGCAGAAGUUUUCCGUUCCGUCGCCGGACGAUGACGCCGAUAUAAUCCGACCCAACACCGUCAUCCCCGGCGGCGUAACCGUGGGCGCUGCUAUGCGAAAGAAGGCCACCGGGGUACGUUCAUGGCUUCUGUUGGAUUCAACUGGACAGACCCAAGUUGUGGAAGCCGGGAAACAUGCAAUUAUGCGGCGGACUGGACUUCCGGCUCGUGAUCUUCGCAUAUUGGACCCACUUCUCUCGUAUCCAUCUACUGUGUUGGGUCGUGAACGGGCUAUCGUCAUCAAUUUGGAGCAU
rnacentral:misc_RNA from 1 species